UACGUAGGUCCCAAGCGUUAUCCGGAAUUACUGGGUGUAAAGCGUCUGUAGGCGGACUUGUAAGUUUUGUAUGAAAGACCAGGGCUCAACCCUGUGUUUGUGCAAAAAACUGCAAGCCUAGAAUUAGGGAGGGGUAAGCGGAAUGGUAUGAGUAGAGGUGCAAUUCGUAGAUACAUACCAGAACACCAAAAGCGAAGGCAGCUUACUGGAACUAUAUUGACGCUGAGAGACGAAAGCGUGGGGAGCGAAAAGG
rnacentral:rRNA from 1 species